AGGAUAAACGCUGGCGGCGUGCCUAACACAUGCAAGUCGAACGUCUCUUCUUUCGGGAAGAGGAGUGGCGGACGGGUGAGGAACACGUGGGAACCUGCCCUUUAGUGAGGAAUACCGGCGAGAAAUCGCCGACAAGACCGCAUAGCCCUCUUUGAUGAGAGUCAAAGAAGGAAAGCUUCGCAAGAGGCGCUAGAGGAGGGGCCUGCGUCCGAUUAGCUAGUUGGUGGGGUAAGAGCCUACCAAGGCGUCGAUCGGUAGCUGGUCUGAGAGGACGAUCAGCCACACUGGGAUUGAGAACGGCCCAGACUCCUACGGGGGCAGCAGUGAGGAAUUUUCGGCAAUGGGGGAAACCCUGACCGAGCAACGCCGCGUGCAGGAAGACGGCCUUCGGUGUAAACUGCUUUUCUUGGGAAGAGGAAGGACGGUACCAGAGGAAUCAGCCCGGCUCACUACGUGCCAGCAGCCGC
rnacentral:rRNA from 1 species